AUACGUAGGUGGCAAGCGUUGUCCGGAAUUACUGGGUGUAAAGGGAGCGCAGGCGGGGGAGCAAGUCAGCUGUGAAAUGCAUGGGCUUAACCGAUGAACUGCAGUUGAAACUGUUCUUCUUGAGUGAAGUAGAGGUUGGCGGAAUUCCGAGUGUAGCGGUGAAAUGCGUAGAUAUUCGGAGGAACACCGGUGGCGAAGGCGGCCAACUGGGCUUUUACUGACGCUGAGGCUCGAAAGUGUGGGGAGCAAACAGGAUUAGAUACCCUGGUAGUCCACACUGUAAACGAUGAUUGCUAGGUGUGGGGGGUCUGACCCCUUCUGUGCCGCAGCUAACGCAAUAAGCAAUCCACCUGGGGAGUACGGCCGCAAGGCUGAAACUCAAAGGAAUUGGCGGGG
rnacentral:rRNA from 1 species